UUUUUGGCUCCUUGGUCGGUUGAUGUCUCCAAACAGCGCUGUGACAGAACCUGGUUUUUUGUGAUGAUUGCUUACACAGUCUGGAUUUUGCUGGUCAUUGUUUGGACCUUCAUACUGAUUACUAAAAGAAAGUCAAUACGGAAGCAAAAUAAAGUAAGUUCAAAAAGACGUGAUGGAACCAAACAACAAAAGAUAAAGAAGAAGCACACUGAAGUUACAGUUAUGGUCAUGUACCUCAUCUCCUUCAUUGGAAGCACAGCUUUUGCUGUAUAUAUUACUUAUGCCAUAAUUGCAUAGGAGAGAGUAAACUGAGC